rnacentral:rRNA from 1 species
AGACCGCCAGCUAAGGUCCCAAAGUCAUGGUUAAGUGGGAAACGAUGUGGGAAGGCCCAGACAGCCAGGAUGUUGGCUUAGAAGCAGCCAUCAUUUAAAGAAAGCGUAAUAGCUCACUGGUCGAGUCGGCCUGCGCGGAAGAUGUAACGGGGCUAAACCAUGCACCGAAGCUGCGGCAGCGACACUAUGUGUUGUUGGGUAGGGGAGCGUUCUGUAAGCCUGUGAAGGUGUGCUGUGAGGCAUGCUGGAGGUAUCAGAAGUGCGAAUGCUGACAUAAGUAACGAUAAAGCGGGUGAAAAGCCCGCUCGCCGGAAGACCAAGGGUUCCUGUCCAACGUUAAUCGGGGCAGGGUGAGUCGACCCCUAAGGCGAGGCCGAAAGGCGUAGUCGAUGGGAAACAGGUUAAUAUUCCUGUACUUGGUGUUACUGCGAAGGGGGGACGGAGAAGGCUAUGUUGGCCGGGCGACGGUUGUCCCGGUUUAAGCGUGUAGGCUGGUUUUCCAGGCAAAUCCGGAAAAUCAAGGCUGAGGCGUGAUGACGAGGCACUACGGUGCUGAAGCAACAAAUGCCCUGCUUCCAGGAAAAGCCUCUAAGCAUCAGGUAACAUUAAAUCGUACCCCAAACCGACACAGGUGGUCAGGUAGAGAAUACCAAGGCGCUUGAGAGAACUCGGGUGAAGGAACUAGGCAAAAUGGUGCCGUAACUUCGGGAGAAGGCACGCUGAUAUGUAGGUGAAGUCCCUCGCGGAUGGAGCUGAAAUCAGUCGAAGAUACCAGCUGGCUGCAACUGUUUAUUAAAAACACAGCACUGUGCAAACACGAAAGUGGACGUAUACGGUGUGACGCCUGCCCGGUGCCGGAAGGUUAAUUGAUGGGGUUAGCGGUAACGCGAAGCUCUUGAUCGAAGCCCCGGUAAACGGCGGCCGUAACUAUAACGGUCCUAAGGUAGCGAAAUUCCUUGUCGGGUAAGUUCCGACCUGCACGAAUGGCGUAAUGAUGGCCAGGCUGUCUCCACCCGAGACUCAGUGAAAUUGAACUCGCUGUGAAGAUGCAGUGUACCCGCGGCAAGACGGAAAGACCCCGUGAACCUUUACUAUAGCUUGACACUGAACAUUGAGCCUUGAUGUGUAGGAUAGGUGGGAGGCUUUGAAGUGUGGACGCCAGUCUGCAUGGAGCCGACCUUGAAAUACCACCCUUUAAUGUUU